ensembl:lncRNA
AAAAGUGGUAUUUCUCUACCUUAGUGGGAUUUCUGGCACUGAGAGGAGGAAGCUAGUCUCUCAUAGUCCGGACAGUAAGAGCUGAGUGCCAGCCGUAAGCAGACUGCAAGGUGUUCAUCAGUCAUGGUGGAUCUGUAUUUUGACUUGAUGAUUUUCAUAUGUGAAAAGGCAGACUCACAAUUGGACAUUCAUGUCAGGUGUUGCUCUGGAUUUGAGCUCAAAUGUCAUUCUUCAGUGUGAGGAUCUCAUUCUCAACAGCACAGCUAUCCAGGUUGAAGAGUAAUGCCACUUUGGACGUUAUACAAUCCACAUCUAUAUUUUCCCCAAAUGGAAAACAGAGAUAGCUGACAACAGGCUCAAUGGAUGCAAAGUCAAGUCCUGUCAAAUUCUGACAAGAUGCUCUGCACUUGCUCAUCAUAACGUGCACUCUCAAGCUCCGCCCAGUCUUUGCCCAUAGCCUGGGCUGCCAACUGUCACGCAUUGGCCGUGAGACUCACGCAUUUCAUCGGUUUCACAUGCUCUCACGCCACACCUCCGAUUUCUCACGCCAAAAAAACUGGGAGACUACCAUUUAAAAAGAGGGGCGCCAGAACACAACAGUAAUGUAAGGUUCCCUUUCCUGUCCAUGGUGACGUUUACCACGCGCUCGGUAUCGCGCUGCGCGGAUACACUCCCAUCAGCGGAGCAGAAAGCGCGUCGUCGGUGUUCGUCUGCACCCCCCCCCCAACCGGUCUCACACCAAGGUUUUUGGAAAAGUCGGCAGCUCUGUUUCCCUGUUUCUAAAUACAAGAGAAACAGAUCGGAGCCCGGGAUCGACUGGUAGACCGGUUAAGGAGUUCCUCCAAGUGCUCUUUCCAACCACCACAAUUCCACAAUCUCCUCCCCUGCCUGAGCCGGCCUGACCAAAGCUCUGCUUUCACUUUGUAACUAGUCUAAUGAAGCCAGAAGUUCCUUCAGUCUAAACAAAAGUCCUUCUCCAUAAUCUCCUCAAAAUCCUCCUACACUUGAAUUUUUUCCCCAGCUACCACCAAAGCUUCAGUCGUUCUGGCCAACCAGUCCCGUUUAAAGCCCCUUUCACCACUGGUGUCCACCGGCAGCUUCUUAGGCUGCUGACAGGUACUGCUGACCUUGCAACCACAGCUUGUGUCUCCUCCCUCUAUUGUGUGUGUGUGUGUGUGUGUAUAACUGGGCGCAGGUUUCAUCACCUGGCGCAUCGUUAAGAGCCCCGGUUUCCUUUCCACUCAUCCCUAGAUUAUUUUGCCAGCUCAGUGGUAGUCGAUUCUUGGCCGCUCUACGCUUACGCGGCCUCCCUGCAUUCCCUCUUCAACUCCACCGGACAUUCCCCGCUUCUCCUGCAAACCAUCCUCCAUUAAAACCAUAUUCACCAACUCUCUGCGUAUCUGCUCUUGGGUCCAGCUUAGCCGAUCCAAAAAAAUUCAUGACCGGAAACAAAAGUCCAACAACAAAGCACAAUGUAGGUUCGUACCAGGCAGGCCAUUCCGAAAGAAACUCAACCUCCAAACAGAGCACUUCUGAAGGAACAUAAUUGGUACUAUGUUCAUCAUGUUUCUAGAGUAUUACAGCGGUCUGUGCAUAUAGAAUACUUAAAGAAAUGUUUUUGUCACCUAAAAGACAAGAACCAAGACCAGAAGAGGAUACUGGACUUAGUAAGAGUCAGAAAAGACCAGAAAAAAAAAUCCUUUGAUACUUUUAUUACUGUUUUAUUAAAGAAUCCCGCAAAAAUAUGAAAUAAAGGACAUCUUGAAACAUUUCACAAAAAACGUAUUAAACUAAUGUCAUAGUAUGAAGAUGUCAUAGCCUAAAAUGCCAGCUAAGAAUACAUAAUAUGUAUGUAUGUCAUAAAACAAACAAAUAGCAAAAUGGAUGCCCUCCCUUUACAUGUUUCGCAGGUAUGGGUUUUCCUGGUAAGAACCGGUGGGAUGGAUAUCUUCUCCGGGUUCCCCAGAGUGUUGCUGGUGAGAAGCACAUCUGGAUCUCCAUCCUAAGGCUGAUGGCCCCGAAAACUAGCCUGAAUAAGUGUAAAGAAAAUGGCUGCUGAUCUCAAUUUGGGUCACCUGUCUCUGUCUUGUGUUAGCAUAUUGACUCGGCAGACUACUCAUUCCCCUCGUUUCUUACACACAUGCUAUAAUUGUAUGUGAUUUCUCUGCAUUUGCUUUAAUUAGACUUUUUAAAAUUGGAUUUUAUUUAAUGUGCUACAUGUACCUUUAACCAAGGAAGUGAAACAUACAAUUAGAACAUGAUUGUUUCUCAAAAUUAGAAGUUAAUUGUUUAGAUGUCCAUGAGUAUAAUUACAUGUUGAUUGUGGAAAUUAAAUAAACUGAAUCAACUAUACAAGAACCUUCAUAUGCUUGGACAUGGAGGCUUUCUGAUUACAUACUAUAUAUUUCAUGCAAUUGUCAGUCAUCAGCUAAGUAGUUGUACACUGUGUGCAAAGAGAAGUCUUUGAUGUCUUGUUUCUGGGUAAAAGCCUGUUUGAUGUUUAGCAUGUUUUUUUGUGAUGGUGACAAAGAAAAUCACUGGUUUGAGGAAACGGGGGCUUUUAUAAACCUUUGGAUUGAUACAUGAGAAUUAAGCUCAAGCGAAAGCAAGUAAUUCUUAUAAUGCUAAAACAUUUCUGGAAAGGAAAGGUUUUGUGUCUUGGACUUUAUGAUGAGCUGAAUACAGUGAUACAGUACGUAUCUCUGCUGUCCAUUGUCUUAAGUUAUAUAACAAUAACUGUAAAUUUGGGGUCCCCCAAAAGGACGCACGACUGUGCCAGAACCAAACUAUCACGUAGUCAUCACGAACAAAUAUAUGAAUGCUUCAACUCGUUCGAAACGUUUGUCUUUGCUACAAUAUAGAGAAUUCUGUUUGAAAAUGCUCAAAACACAACUUCAACAACGAUCACAAGAGUUAGAAAAUUGGGGAAGCAAAAGUUGAACUAUCCUAACAAAUAAACUGUUAUAGAUAGAUGAAAUCCAGCAUUCUGAUUGGUUGAGAGUGAAUCACAGGGUGUACUUUACUAAAGCAUCAAGGUACGAGAGGCUGUACUUUAUUGUCCAACAAUGUUGUUUGAGGGCGUUGUUAGGCCCAACGUGGCGCGGAGGGCCGGCAAACCUAGAAAUGAAAUUAUAAUUAGUAAGUAAAUAGCUGCCUUUCAGCACAAAAUAGUAUUAGCCACCAAACGUUGCGUAUCGCAUUUCAGUAGUCUAGAUAAAAAAUUGUCCCCAUACGUGCACGUAAACAGCAUUAGGUCCCGCACCAUCUCCUUCAUUCACACCGCUCAUGACGUCCACCUUAAUUGUCCGGUUGCAAAAGCUUGCAUUGCCUGAAACCGAUCAUUUGUGGGAUUUCCGUUUUUUUUUCGGCGAUCGCCACAGAGGUAAAAGCUAAAAUACAAACAGUCGCACAAAAUCUAACCUGCUACUUUGAGUGCGCAGUGAUAUGGUCGCUCGGGUCAAUGUGAACAGCAACUGUACAUUAUUGCCCAAUAAUGUACCCCUCGUGACUCUCUCUUAACCAAUCAGAACGCUGGAUUUCAUCUACCCAUGUUAUAAUGAGCCAUAAUGUACUGUACCUGUUUACAUUGACUUGAGCGUUUCAUAUAUGCACUCAAAAUAACAAUUCGAUUUUGACAACAUCCUUGAACUAUAACAUUAUUAACAAUAAAGUACAGCCCCUCGUACCUUAUUGCUUAAAUAAACAUCAUACAUCUCACAGGUAUGUUGGCUGAGAAAGCUUUCCAGUCACUAACAACCAGUGAUGCCAUACUGCAAGAAAAAUGUAAUUUUCUAAGGUAUGCAACACUGUAAAUUGCCAUGGGAGUUCAGGUUAACGGCUUUCCACUGAAAUGUAUAGGCAGCACAGCAAACUCCCAGGAACCAGCCCCUUGUUCAGGUGAGACCUUAAAACGCAACCAGCGGUUAGUUUCAUUACUGCUGUAACUAUGCAUAAGUAUAGUUAGUGUCACGACCAGGAACACAAGGGAACCAAAAACAAGACACUCAAUAAACUAAGCAGAGACAAAGGACACACAUGGUAGAAAUACACUGGGACGGUGAAGGUGAUUGGACACAGAAGGAAACAAUCAGGAACAUGGCAGACAAUAUCAGGGGAUAACCCUGAUAUUGGAUAACAAUGCAGGAAUUGAAGCUAUCCCAGGUACAAGAAGAUGGAGGAAACAACAAUCCACAACAGUGCCAGUUAAUAGUGGACCUAACAUCUGUGAAGCUCCAGGUACCAUUUUUGCAUCAGUUUUAUGUGUGUCAGGGAUGGCAUUUAGUUUCUGCAUGUUACACACACAUUAUCUUAAGAAAAAGAACCUGGUAUAAUUGUUAGGUGGCAGUCCUGUUGUAUACAGGAGUGUGAUCAAAGUGGCAACCCCCACCACUCAGCACUGACCUAUUUCUGCUCCUAUUUCAUCAGGUCAGAAAUACACCGUCUGCUGACUAGAAAAACAAAGUCUGGGUCUUUACCACAUCCAAGUAAUCAAAGCUGUGUGAAGGGGCAGAACGACUUCCCAAGUAGACGGUGUGUGUGUAUGUGUGUGUGCAACUCCUGCCUUAUGAAGAUCAAAUCACAAAGUAAGAAACAUACACAUGUACUGUACAUUUUUACUUUGUUUAAAGCUAUAAUCCUUGGGAUUGCAUUAUAUGAAAACAAAAUAUCCAACUGGUUGUGUGUUUGAUGUAAUUCAAACUGCAAAAAUAUUUAUUCAAAUAUAAAUAAUGAGUGCAAGACACAAUUCCCCGCUGUGAAUGGCAUACUGAGCUGAAGAUCAGAGGAAAUGGGAUGCUUAAAGGUACACGCUUGUACACAGUGUGGGUAUUUUGGCAGGUUGCAUCCUCCGGGUCCAAAGACUGAAGCCAAUGGUCCUGAAAACGUAAAGCGGUGAAAUAUAUCAUUUGCUCUUUAUUGUUUUCCUACCCAACAUUUUUUGGCCUCUGCUCAGAAAAUUCCAAUGAUAAAAAGUGUAAUUACUCUGGAACUACUUCUGCCUAUCUGGAUAUUUUUUUCUGUAGGAAAAAGAGGAACCCCUGUGAGUGUGCUGAUGUGUAAAAAUAAGUCUGUGUGUUACUUUAAAGAGAAAUAAAUGGAACACCAAAAAAUCCUUUGGAUUUUGAGAAUCACCUGAGAUGAAAUCACCAACCGGGUGAUUAUCCAGCCCUAUAAAAUAUUUAUAUAUCAGCCUGAAUACACCUCUAGGUCAUUAUGUAGACAGAACACAUGGAACGUUUUACGUUGAUAGUCAGGAUUACUAGUCUAGGACAGGCUUUUAUGAUAGAGAAAUGGGAGGACUUAAAAUCUGGAUUUUUAGUCUGUCUGGUUGGCCGAUUUGCACGUUCAAACCCUCUUUCAAGUUGUCUCACCCUAUUAGAUCCGAUUGACGGGGAGAAGAGCGACAGCUCCCUUAGCCACUCAGAAGCCAAAAUGGGUGGAACAUAAAUGACGCUCGGCAGUAACGUUUACCUGUGAAAUUUUAUCCCCUAACCCCCCUAACGUCACUUAAAAGUGACAAGAAGCUUGGAUUUCUGCCCGUAUUACAGCGCAGAAAGAUUCUUUUCAUAAUAUUGUUCAAAACGACGCAGGUAUGCAUUUAUGAUUUUCACAAUACAAGUGAUUAGUGUCGAUGAACGCAAAUUAAUUCAGAUGCUCAAUGAAUUCAUAGGAAACAUAGAUAUGUUACAAAUAAAUAGGAAAGAUUAGAUAUUUCUAGGUUUGAAAACCCAUAAUUUAAAAUUUUCUUUAAUGAAAAUCAUCCAAAUGUAACGAAAAUACAUAAAAAGGUCUCCAAUGACAAUACAAAUCCAGGAUGGAGGUGGCUGCAAGAGAUAAGAUUUAAGGUUUUCAGAUUACAAGCAAACCCUGUCAUUGCCUGAACUCACUGUUUUGCAUUGUAGCCAUUACUGACAAUGACAAGCACAUCCAUUCAAAUUGGUAAUGGGCUGCAUUUGUUCACUCACUUUCUCAUCACAUUGUGCAAAUAGCUGCAGACAAUGGAAUAAUUACACUGUGUGCACACAGAUAGCCAGCACACCUAAUGUUGCUCCCAAGGGAACAGUCUUGGAGUGUCUACCAGUCACCACUACUUGUUCUCUGUUCAUACUUCCCACUGGAGCUUUAAACCAGUGGGUCUCAUGAGCUGAGAAACCAUUUAAACGGCAUCAUGAGGCCCAAUGAGCACCUACAUGAGUAGGAGAAUGGCCCCUAUGCACAUUUUUCAUCGUUCUAUGAUCAUUUUAUUUAUUUUCUUCUAUUUUGAAAUGCAGCCCAUUUUUAGCUAGUUAAUGAGAUAACAUUAUAUAUAUUUGUAGUCAUACGUAUAUGUUCUGUUCUUUGUUACAUGACAAUAUUGUCAAAGUUUUUGAAUCGUACUAAAUUUCAUAUGAUCUGUUAGUCGUGUAUUGAUUGCAUGCAGAUUUUGAUACAACUCUAUUCCUCAAUUUAAUCACACUAAAUAUUCACAUUCACAUCAUGAUCUUCCAGAUCUUUGCUUCCAGAAAUUUUCUUUAACCGGACAACUUUAUGUUUUAGUUGAAUACCCCUUAUGUAGAUGAAUGAAAUUAUGGAAAUUGGAUAAAAUAAUGUUGACGAAAAGUCAUUGGUAAAAAAGAGUGUAGUCCAAGAUCUACCAAAAUAGAAAUAGUAAUUAAAAGUGUUUAUUUAGACCGGUAAUGGUCAGUAGGCUCUGCUGAAACUCACAGACAGAAGUGAAUUGAACGUUGUUAUGCUAAUCAAUCUUUACUCAUUUACUCAGGCUGAGACUGUUUG